CCCUUAGAUGUUCUGGGCGGCCCGCGCACUACAAUGGCGCUUUCAGCGAGUUCCUAUGUUGAAUUUUCCUGGGUAUUCUUGGAAGCGGCGUCUUGACUUGGGAUAGAUCCUUGUAAUUGUUGGUUUUGAACGAGGAAUUCCUUGUAAACGCGGUUGAUCAGCUCGCGUUGAAUACGUCCCUGCCCUUUGUACACACCGCCCGUCGCUCCUACCGAUGAAUCGUCCGGUGAAGUUCACAGAGUGGCGGUUCGUGGAGUUGCUCGCGAAGUGAAAUGGACCUCACGAUUUAGAGGAAGGAGAAGUCGUAACA
rnacentral:rRNA from 1 species